GAUGAACGCUGGCGGCGUGCCUAAUACAUGCAAGUAGAACGCUGAAGGAGGAGCUUGCUCUUCUGGAUGAGUUGCGAACGGGUGAGUAACGCGUAGGUAACCUGCCUGGUAGCGGGGGAUAACUAUUGGAAACGAUAGCUAAUACCGCAUGACAACAGUUAUUGCAUGAUAACUGUUUAAAAGGGGCAACUGCUCCACUACCAGAUGGACCUGCGUUGUAUUAGCUAGUUGGUGAGGUAACGGCGCACCAAGGCGACGAUACAUAGCCGACCUGAGAGGGUGAUCGGCCACACUGGGACGGAGACACGGCCCAGACUCCUACGGGAGGCAGCAGAAGGGAAUCUUCGGCAAUGGACGGAAGUCUGACCGAGCAACGCCGCGUGAGUGAAGAAGGUUUUCGGAUCGUAAAGCUCUGUUGUAAGAGAAGAACGAGUGUGAGAGUGGAAAGUUCACACUGUGACGGUAUCUUACCAGAAAGGGACGGCUAACUACGUG
rnacentral:rRNA from 1 species